UGCCUAGAGCGCAGAUGUUAUUUACCGUUAAAUUGGGUGGGAGGAUGAAUAUGUGUGGUGAAUUGGAAAGGCUGAGAAGGAAGUGACAGUGACCUAUUUCAAGUCAAAACCCGUCAUUUUUCUUGAUGAACCGAAGAAAACGAAAACGUCUAAGCUGAAUAGCUGCUGCUCUGAGUACGAUUCGAAUCGGAUACUUCCAUUAACAAGUCACCCGUGAAGCGUAACCGCUGUUUCAACAUGGUAAUUUUCUGCAUCCUAUUGUUACCACCGCUCUCUGAUGUCCAAAUACUCUACUCAGCAUCCUUUACACAAAACACUCAUCAGUUAUGGACUUCCCUUCGGUUGACAGAGCACCAAUGACAUUAAUAUAAACAAAAGCUUUCAUUGCUGCUGAGGAGAAGAUACCACAGACGGACGAGGCAAGAUACGGUCUUGCACGAGUGAGCAGGACUGUGGGGCCGAUAGCAGUAACCUUCGCGGCGCUCUGUCUGCCCCAGCGCCCAAGGAAGUGUGUCGAAGAAGGGGGUUCCUGCUCCCUCAGCAUCCAGCUUCCAGCUCCAGAGCCCCUUUUAACUCGCAGUGCGAGCGGGCCAAUCCAAACCUAUCAACUACA